rnacentral:rRNA from 1 species
AUUGAACGCUGGCGGCAGGCUUAACACAUGCAAGUCGAGCGGAGAUGAGGUGCUUGCACCUUAUCUUAGCGGCGGACGGGUGAGUAAUGCUUAGGAAUCUGCCUAUUAGUGGGGGACAACAUUCCGAAAGGAAUGCUAAUACCGCAUACGUCCUACGGGAGAAAGCAGGGGAUCUUCGGACCUUGCGCUAAUAGAUGAGCCUAAGUCGGAUUAGCUAGUUGGUGGGGUAAAGGCCUACCAAGGCGACGAUCUGUAGCGGGUCUGAGAGGAUGAUCCGCCACACUGGGGCUGAGAAACGGCCCAGACUCCUACGGGAGGCAGCAGUGGGGAAUAUUGGACAAUGGGGGGAACCCUGAUCCAGCCAUGCCGCGUGUGUGAAGAAGGCCUUAUGGUUGUAAAGCACUUUAAGCGAGGAGGAGGCUACUGAGACUAAUACUCUUGGAUAGUGGACGUUACUCGCAGAAUAAGCACCGGCUAACUCUGUGCCAGCAGCCGCCGUAACAC